UGUCUUCUUAGCAGGUUCGAAGAGGAUUAAAUGAGAUGACAUAUAUAAAAUGGGUAGUGCAAUGCUUGGUUCACUGGAUAUAAAAGCUCAAGUGGAUUAACUACUUCUGAGUAUUAGAGACUGAGUUGAAUCCUCCCAAAGAAAUCUUAUCACAGAUGGUUGGGAGCCACGCUGAUUAGAAUGCUAACUGUUGCAGCACUAGGACACGUUUAGAGGAAAAAGACCAUGUAAUUACACAGCAAGAAGGCAGCCGUCUAUAAGACAAAGUGAGGCCUCAGCAGAAAGAGACCCUGAUGAAACUUUGAUCUUGGACUUCUAGCCUCCAGGACUGGGAGAGAAUAAACUGUUGUUUUAGCCACUCAAUCUGUGGUCUUUUGUUAUGGCAGUUCAAGCAGAUUAAUAUACAUUUGAUGCUCUAAAUUUCCCACUAAACACUGCUUUUGCUCUACCCCACAAAUUUUAAUGAAUUGCAUUUU